rnacentral:rRNA from 1 species
AUGUGAUCGUCUCUCGCAUAUCAAUAAGCGGAGGAAAAGAAACUAACAAGGAUUCCCUUAGUAACGGCGAGUGAAGCGGGAAGAGCUCAAAUUUGAAAUCUUCAAGGUUCUACCUUGACGAAUUGUAGUUUAAAGAAGUGUUUUCUGUUAGUGGAGUGGCAAAAGUUCUUUGGAAUAGGACAUCAUAGAGGGUGAGAAUCCCGUAUUUGGUCAUUCCUUCUAGCUUUGUGAUACACUUUCAAAGAGUCGGAUUGUUUGGGAAUGCAGUCCAAAAUGGGUGGUAAAUUUCAUCUAAAGCUAAAUAUUGGCGAGAGACCGAUAGCGAACAAGUACCGUGAGGGAAAGAUGAAAAGAACUUUGAAAAGAGAGUUAAACAGUACGUGAAAUUGUCAAAAGGGAAGCGUUUGACACCAGUGUUGUUUUUCCGAAAAUCAAUUAUAAAUGUUUUGUUUCUGAGGAGUGAUGACUUCAUCGGCUUCCUUCUCUCUUCACGAAACUUUUGUAAUGCACUUUUCGGUUAACAAGUCAACAUCAAUUUCUUUUGUUGUAAAAGAGUAUUUGGAAGGUGGCUUUCUUUUCGGAGAAAGUGUUUAUAGCCUAUUGCCUUCUACAAUCGGAGAGACUGAGGUCUGCAGCGUAGACUCUUCGGGGUUAGAUACAUUUGUGCUAAGUUAUAGCUUUUUAUAGACAACUUGUUGACUAUAAUUAGUCUUGUAGCUUACUCGCUUAUGCUAUUUUACCUACGCUUAGGAUGUUGACGAUCAGCUGAGCGCG